UAAAGAAACAAAACAAAUAAGGAAAGAAAUGUAAAUUACUCCCAUCAGAACUCUUUCUCUCUAUAUCACAAAUCACAAUUAAAAUCCUAAAACAGAAGGUCCAAUCUUCUUCUUCCCUCUCUCACGCACCGGCGUCUCUCCAUCGUCACUGCCCUCCAGCCGCCUCGACCUGCUGUCGUCGUUGCCGUGGAAGCUCCAGGUGUCGCCGCCGUCUCGCUGCGGCGAGUUAUGUUCCAGCCGCCUCGACCUGCUGUCCCUCUUCCGUCUCUACCCUUCUCUCUUUUUCUCCGAUAGGUAAGUCUCCUCCCCUAAAAUCAUUCUAAUUCUUAUCCAAAUUCUAAUUCUUAUUAAUCGAUUUCAAUUUGUUUUCUCGGAGGAUUGAAUUUUCAAAAGUGACAAAGGGCUAAACUUAAAGAGUGAAACUUUGGCCAUUGCUAUGUUAACCUAAGCAACGAAGGUGGAAGCUAUACCUGCAAAGCAGCGAAAAAUCUUGGUCUCUGCCCACAGCUUUCUCCCUGCUCUUCUGUUUUCUCUCUCUCAGAUUUAAAUGUGAAUGAAAAGUGAAAUCGUGGGGAUGCAUCUAUAUAUACAUGGUUAAAUCCUCCUAAUUCUCAGGGAAGAGAUUUGGACAAAAGAUUUGAGUAUAAUUGAGUUAAACCAUAUCGGAUAUUGGGCUAGAAGAUUAUUAAAUUAUAGGCUCUAAAAUUAUAUUCUUUGGCUAUUUAUUUGUACUCCAGAAAUACAUUCUAUUUUCUCCUCAAGGGUCGAUUACUUAUGCCUCA